rnacentral:rRNA from 1 species
AUAGCGUAUAUUAAAGUUGUUGCAGUUAAAAAGCUCGUAGUUGAAACUGGGCGCGGCUGGCCGGUCCGCCUCACGGCGUGCACUGGUCUCGGCCGUGCUUUCCUCUCGGACCGCCCGAGAGCGCUUCACUGUGCGCUCGGGACGGGCCGGGACUUUUACUUUGAAAAAAUUAGAGUGUUCAAAGCAGGCAUUUGCUCGGAUACAUUAGCAUGGAAUAAUUGAAUAGGACGUCGAUCCUAUUUUGUUGGUUUCUAGGACCGCUGUAAUGAUUAAUAGGGAUAGUUGGGGGCAUUAGUAUUCAAUUGUCAGAGGUGAAAUUCUUGGAUUUAUUGAAGACUAACUACUG